GAGAGCUCAAUGAACUUGUGUGUACCGACACCUGCUUGCUCACUAGACUCCAGGUUGAUAGAAAGAGAGAAGGGCUGAGGGCAGGGGUUAGAGAAUCGUCAACUUCCUAAUUGAACACUCGAUCUGAAUUGGCAAUGCUUCAGGGACAUGGUUGCUGGUCUCUGUUCCUCGCCAGGAGCAAGCAGGUGCUGAAUAAGUCAUCUUGGUGCCUGUGCUGCAGGAAGUCUUGUGAACAGGAAAAAGAGAAGACUCACAUUUGUUACUGUCUUGGCAGCUAAAAGGGGGCCACGGAUGCUGAUCACAGAUUCAGGAAGAAAGGCAGUGGGCUCAGGGAGAGGCCUUGAAGUCACAGGUGAAACGCUGGGGUCUGAUCCCAAGCCACAAAUAAAAGCUGGAAUUGAUUUAAUGGAAUUCCACCCAUUUAUUCAGCAGAUAACAACUGGACAGCAGAAGCGGCCAGGCCCUAAGAGAGCUGUGGGGGUACAGCCAUGAGUGGGAUUCCUCUCGUCUCCCACAAGCAGAGAGCCAUGUGCUCAAGGGGUGAACGCUGAAGGAGCCCAUAAAAGAGACGAUCUGAUGUGACUGGUGCACAGACGGCUGCCUUGUCUGACUUCUCAGCCCUCCCCCAAAUCAGGUUCAGCGGACUCUUGACUCCCCCACCGCCACCAAGAAGAGAGGGCAGCGGGGUGUCCUUGUGCCAGCCCACGCAGGCCUGCUUGCUUUGUUUCUCAUUCAGAGCCACGCUGGCCAUUUCAGACACAGCCAACCCAGGAGCUUAGACCAGAGGCAGCUGCUGCAGGCAUGGGCCUGGCAGCAGGAAGGCCAGUGGGCGGGCAGACAGGCAGCAAGAGAACACUCGAGAAUUAACCUGCCCAGGGCUGGGUCUCCUCAGAGGAUCACGGACAUCCCUACUCCCGCCUUUUGACGACCGAGACAUGGCUCGGGAGCCCAAGCCUGGUCCUGCCCGGCCGGGCCAGAAGAGGCCCUGGGGCACAGCCAUCUCCUGGUGAGUCUGUUGGGGUUGCCUGCCGGGGAGGGAGUCUGAUCACCAGCUUGACUGGGGCGCUGAGCCCCCCAGGAUGGAACGCGGACCGCAGGAGGCUUGUUCAGUGCCUGACAACUAGCCAGGCAGGCUGCCCGUCCUACUCACUGUGGCACCAAAGGAGAUCCUGUCUGCCUUGGCCACUGGUUUUGUCUGGAAACUGGGUGGGAGGGGUGUCGACCCAGCUCCUUCCAAGGCCCCUUCGAGCUGACAUAACCCAGCUAGCAUCCUGCUGGUGGGGCCCUCUUCUCUCGCCUGGACGCAGGGGUGUGGCUCCUCCAAAGGGAGCCUCGCCUGUGGGAUGCUUGGGGGCUUUUUCUGGGUAUCGAUGUUUGGGAGCAGAAAAUGGGAACCUUUCAGGAGGAAAUCCUCCCUCUAACUUGGGACACUUCAAGGCAUUUUAAAGAAACCUUUAAACAUCUUCAGAAAGGUACUCACCAAACUGCCCGCCAACGUGCCAUUUUCACAGGCCUAACGAGGGUGUGUGCGAACCCAGUGGUUGCUUCGCCCUCCGCUGGGUGUUUGUGGGGGCCGCGCUCGGCUCCUGGCCCAGCUGUGGGUAUUUGAGUGGUUUCUGCCUUGCCAGUGGGGGAGGCGGGAGGCAGCGGGACAGGUGGUUGCAGUUAGGGACAGCAUUGUGUAAACGCCCUGGUGCCGAAGAAGGUUCUGGUUCCUCUGGGGUCUCAUCUCCUCAGAAGUGGGAUGCAGGGCUGGGCGGGGGCUGCCCUGAGGAGCCUCUGCACCUCCAGGUUGACCUCGAGAGAGAUUUGGCCAAAUCUCGCGCUGCCUGCGGCAGCCCGAGGGUCUGCGUCACCUUUAGGGGGGGUGGACUCCUUGUUCACUGCGUUUGCUUUGGGCUGAGGAGGAGGUGCGCGCUCGUGGGUGAGCUCAGUUUUUUAAACUUGGGUUUCUUCAGUGAUGCAGACGUGCGCACGCGGUGUGCUGUGGGGGGCUCUCAUCGGGGGCUUGCUAGGGUUUUGUAAACAGCUGUUUGACGGGAGGUAAGUGGUUCCUUCCCUUCAUCCUAUCCUGCAGUUUUCUCCCACGGCCGUUUUGAGGCUGGGUUAACCCUUCCUCAGUGUGGUUCCAGGUGCCGCCUUCAGAGUUCAUGCCCCCCGCCCCCUUGCCUAGCAGGCUCGGACCCAGUCCUGCAGGUGCAGGUGGGGGAACAGGGAAGCAGUGGGGAGUAAUGACAACUGUCCUGCAGGAACGCAGACUCCAUCCAGAGGGGUGCCUGGCGUUCCAGGCCUGGGGCAGGGGUGGAUUCCUUAGGACCCCUGUGUCCCCGGAGGACACCAGUGAGGAGAAUGAAGCCCUUCCCCAGGGCUGGACAGCAUGUCUGAGGCAGCAGGCUAUUGCUGUGGCACUGGCCCCUUGGGAGCGUGUCCCAAAGAGAAGUAGUUUGGGGGUGGGGUCCUGGUGGCCCCUGCAUUGCUGGAUGACUUCUCCAUGAGAACUGGUCAAGUCCAGGCCAUGUGCCUUGCUGGUGGGAGGGGCGAGGAACAGCAGGGAUGCCCCCAAGCGGGGAGGGACCCCUCUACCUGCAGCAAGCUGUGGUAGCAAAUACAGCCUAACACCUAACCCCCAAACUCAUCCUGCUUCUGUCUCAACUCAGGCAGCUCCUGAGUCUAUUCUCAGCCCUCAGUGAAUGACCAUUCCUUUACCAUUAAUUUCUGGGUAUUUUUAAAAGACAAAUUACAAACAAAACAAAACAAAAACGAGUGAGGAAAAAAGACCCGAAUCUGCCUCCUCCAUUGGCUGGGAAUCAAAGCCAGGCCUCCCGUGUGGCAGGCGAGAUUUCUAGCACCAAGCCGCCCGUGCUGCAGUGGGAUAGAGGUUGUUGAGGCAGCCCAGGUGGUCGCUACUGACCUCCCCGCCCCUCCCAUGAGCUGUGUCGGAUCUCUGCUGAGGUUUUGGUCCAGGAGCGGAGAGGGGACCCUGGCAAGCCCAAGGGGGCCUCAACAAGAGUUUUCCCCAAGUGGUUCAUGCCCAGCUGAGACUUGUCACCUUGAGUUCUGUCCUGGCCCCCCAGCCUUCCCGGCCUGGCUGUUCCGGUUGCUCAGGGAGCUGUUUCCUGCAUCACGAUCCGGGUCCCAGAUGCCGACCCUGAAGCUCAGAAGGUCCGGGUACCUGCCCUCCCACGCUCUGCUGGCUCACUUUCUUUUCUCCAAGGACAGGCCUCCCACCACCGGAAUCAGCAUCCCUGCCGCUCCCGGCUGCCCACCCAGACUUCCUGAGGCCAGAAAUCAGAGCGGGGGUGGCUGGAAAUCUCAUCCACAGGCCUGGAGACCUCACAGGAUGAAGGCAAAGGGGCCCCUGAAUGUCCUCUAUUCCACCUCAGGGGCCUCUGCAGGGCUUGGGUGUGUGUUUGGGGUGGGGAGUAGGACUUGGACACACAGUACCAGAAUGUCAUUUCAGAAACUUUGCUGCCCCCGGCUUGCAGCCCCUCACGUCCCCCUCAACUCCUCACUCGCCCCAGACCAAGCCUCAGGCUGAACCUAAACUUGCAGCUGUGUUCCCACAGGUCCUUCCUGCCUAGGCUGGACCCAGUCUGCCCUUGCACCCAUCUCCAUUACCCCUUGGGCACCAAUUCUCUUGGAGGUGCACGGUGCUGAGAGCUGGGGUGAGGGCAGGCAGUGGCAGCCUGGGAACUGGAGCCAAGGGGAAGGUGGCCUGGCCGGCCCUGCCAGUGCUGGGCUCUGCAUCCUGGCCAUUCCUACGCAAGGAUUAAAGGCUCUCACACCUGCUUUGUGACUUUGGGCCCUGAUUUAACUCUUCCCUUUCAUCCUUUGCCAGACUAAGAACCAGAAUAAGCCCAGCAAUGCUUGGGUCAGGCAGGGAAGCCUUUGGAGAGCCCAGAUCUGGCUAUGUAGAAACCCGUGGGCAACUGCCCCCUCUUGCCACUCAGAAGAUGCCCCGUCAGAGGCCAGCUAUAGGAAGCUGGCUUGUUGUGGCCUCCUAAAGUGACCUGGGUCAAGUCCCUAGGAGCACUUCUGGUGGAGACCCCUGGGAUUCUAAGAAAAAGCUGCAUACCUCAGUUUCUCCAUAUAAGCUGGAAUCUGGGCGAGGAUUCCGGUCCUGGACAGUGACCCUUCCCCCAUUUUUCUCUACUGCAACAGCUACUACGAUCUGGAUUACGAGCUGUACAGGGAAGAAUUCCCCUACAGGGUGUGUGACUAUCAAAGGAUCCCUCCACUAAUCAACCGUGCACCUACCAAGAUCCGGGGGACCCACGUGGGCCCGGGGGUCAAGCACAGCUUUAGUCCCCACAAGACUCCCAGGACUAGUCAACUGCCUGCAGGGCAGAUAAAGCUCCAGACUGAGGAGCUGCACUCCAUCAGAGGAGAGCUGAGCCAGAUCAAAGCCCAGGUGGAUCACCUGCUGGAGACUGUGGACCGCAUGGACCAGCAGAUGGACCAGCUUCCAGGGACGGAGGACUGCGAACAGAACCGGAGCUCCAGGAGUAAGGGUCCCUCAUACAGAACCGUAGAACCUCAUCAGGAGCCUACAGGCCAGAGGACCCAUCCAGAGGCAGACAGCUCCCCGAUCACAGACCCAGAAGACCCCAAGGAGGCAGUAAAGAAUCACGCAUCAGACCAGGAGGGCAGCCAGUAGAAGGCUGGAACUCCCCCAGUCUCAUCAGCUCCAGGCACUUUCUUCGGCGGUUCCUAUCCCCUGCCUUGAGUAGCACCCACGCUGGAGCAAGCGCAAAGAAGUGGAGGCAUGGCUCAGCCAGUCCAGCUGGGAAGCCUCCCCCCAGUGCUGACUUUAGCUUGAGGAUCAUGUUUCCAGAUGACCAUCUGGGGGCUAGCGGGGAAGGAAGGAGCCCUCCAAGUGCCCAGCACCAGCUCACCAUUCUCAUAAAGCUGAGGCCACUCCUGUUAAGAGGCAGCUGGAAAGGGCCCCCCUGGGAGCACCACCAGCCCUCUGACUACAGGUACCUCCCUAGCUGCUUCUCCCCGCCCCUCGCCAAAGCCUUACCUGUCCUCUCUGGGUCUCAGCAGGAGUAUCACUUUUAUGUUGUUUCUACCUUGUCUCUUGCUGGUGUGAUCUUACAUAUUUCAGAUCUGCUUUGGAAAAAUAUGUCACUGAGGAGAAAUAAAAUUUUAUUUCUUUUCCCUGGUCA
rnacentral:lncRNA from 1 species